UGGUUCUGGCAUCGAUGAAGAACGCAGCGAAAUGCGAUAAGUAAUGUGAAUUGCAGAAUUCAGUGAAUCAUCGAAUCUCUGAACGCACAUUGCGCCCAUUAGUAUUCUAGUGGGCAUGCCUAUUCGAGCGUCAUUUCGACCCUUAAGCCCUGUAGCUUAGCGUUGGGAGUCCGCUAUUUUUAGCGGCUCCUUAAAGUUAUUGGCGGAGUUAUAGCAUACUCAAGGCGUAGUAAUUUUUAUCUCGCUUCUGUAGUGGCCCUAACUGUUAGCCAUAAAACCCCUAUAUUUUUCUAGUGGUUGACCUCGGAUUAGGUAGGAAUACCCGCUGA
rnacentral:misc_RNA from 1 species